rnacentral:rRNA from 2 species
UGGGGAAUAUUGGGCAAUGGGCGCAAGCCUGACCCAGCAACGCCGCGUGAAGGAAGAAGGCUUUCGGGUUGUAAACUUCUUUUGUCGGGGACGAAACAAAUGACGGUACCCGACGAAUAAGCCACGGCUAACUACGUGCCAGCAGCCGCGGUAAUACGUAGGUGGCAAGCGUUAUCCGGAUUUACUGGGUGUAAAGGGCGUGUAGGCGGGAUUGCAAGUCAGAUGUGAAAACUGGGGGCUCAACCUCCAGCCUGCAUUUGAAACUGUAGUUCUUGAGUGCUGGAGAGGCAAUCGGAAUUCCGUGUGUAGCGGUGAAAUGCGUAGAUAUACGGAGGAACACCAGUGGCGAAGGCGGAUUGCUGGACAGUAACUGACGCUGAGGCGCGAAAGCGUGGGGAGCAAACAGG